rnacentral:misc_RNA from 1 species
AACGCACAUUGCGCCCGCCAGAAUUCUGGCGGGCAUGCCUGUUCGAGCGUCAUUUCAACCCUCGAGCUCCCCUCUUUUGGGAGAGCCCGGCGUUGGGGACCCGGCGCUAACACCGCCGGCCCCGAAAUGGAGUGGCGGCCCGUCCGCGGCGACCCCUGCGUAGUAACAUCCACUCGCACCGGGACCCGGGCGCGGCCACGCCGUUAAACACCCCACCUUCCGAAUGUUGACCUCGAAUCAGGUAGGAAUACCCGCUGAACUUAA